rnacentral:rRNA from 1 species
GAUGAACGCUGGCGGCGUGCCUAAUACAUGCAAGUCGAGCGAAUGGAUUAAGAGCUUGCUCUUAUGAAGUUAGCGGCGGACGGGUGAGUAACACGUGGGUAACCUGCCCAUAAGACUGGGAUAACUCCGGGAAACCGGGGCUAAUACCGGAUAACAUUUUGAACCGCAUGGUUCGAAAUUGAAAGGCGGCUUAGGCUGUUACUUAUGGAUGGACCCGCGUCGCAUUAGCUAGUUGGUGAGGUAAUGGCUCACCAAGGCAACGAUGCGUAGCCGACCUGAGAGGGUGAUCGGCCACACUGGGACUGAGACACGGCCCAGACUCCUACGGGAGGCAGCAGUAGGGAAUCUUCCGCAAUGACGAAAGUCUGACGGAGCAACGCCGCGUGAGUGAUGAAGGCUUUCGGGUCGUAAAACUCUGUUGUUAGGGAAGAACAAGUGCUAGUUGAAUAAGCUGGCACCUUGACGGUACCUAACCAGAAAGCCACGGCUAACUACGUGCCAGCCGCCGCGGUAA